AACGAACGCUGGCGGCAGGCCUAACACAUGCAAGUCGAACGAGAAGCCACCUUCGGGUGGUGGAAAGUGGCAGACGGGUGAGUAACGCGUGGGAACGUGCCUUUCGGUUCGGGAUAACCCAGGGAAACUUGGGCUAAUACCGGAUACGCCCUUCGGGGGAAAGAUUCAUUGCCGAAAGAUCGGCCCGCGUCGGAUUAGCUAGUUGGUAGGGUAACGGCCUACCAAGGCGACGAUGGUUAGCGGGUCUGAGAGGAUGAUCCGCCACACUGGAACUGGAACACGGACCAGACACCUACGGGAGGCUG
rnacentral:rRNA from 1 species